rnacentral:rRNA from 1 species
AUAUUGGGCAAUGGACGAGAGUCUGACCCAGCCAUGCCGCGUGCAGGAAGAAGGCCUUCUGGGUUGUAAACUGCUUUUGAUCGGGAACAAAAGACCUAUGCGUAGGAAAUUGAGGGUACCGAUAGAAUAAGCACCGGCUAACUCCGUGCCAGCAGCCGCGGUAAUACGGAGGGUGCAAGCGUUGUCCGGAUUUAUUGGGUUUAAAGUGUGCGUAGGCGGCUAUUUAAGUCAGUGGUGAAAUCCUGCAGCUCAACUGUAGAAUUGCCAUUGAUACUGGAUAGCUUGAGUACAGACGAGGUAGGCGGAAUUUAUGGUGUAGCGGUGAAAUGCAUAGAUACCAUAAAGAACCCCUAUUGCGAAGGCAGCUUACUAGGCUGUAACUGACGCUGAGGCACGAAAGCGUGGGGAUCAAACAGG